UCGGUCUGUGUGAAGGAAGUAUCAUUUUGUAUUAGACUAUUAAACACUGGUCAACUUUAUGAAAACGAAUUGGGAUGCAACUGUGAUCAAACAUUUUGAGAAUAUUUCACCUGGGCCGUUUUGAUCGUGAAAAGGGGCUACGUACAUGGCACUUCUCCCCGAAGGAAGGUCUAUGCGAGCACCGAGACUCUCGUGAUAGUGCCAGACAGUUAAUUUUUUUUCGUUUUUUGACAGCAGGUCAUUGUGGAGUCAUUGUGAUCCUGUUUCGAUUUUCCUAAUUUGUGCCUCAACAUUCCUACCUGAGAUGACUCUCAAAGAUAGUUUUAUGAGAGCUACGCUGCUUAUGAGAAUAGCCGUGAUAGUUGCCUUUGUUGCACAGGCAUGCAGUUGGGUCUCCUUUACAACCACGUCAUGGACUAGAGGAUAUUUUGAUCCUCUAGAAGGGAGAAGCCUUCCUUACAUAGGAUUGUGGAGAUCAUGCAGCUAUUCACCACCUAAAUUUGCUAGUGGAUGCAAUUUUUUGGAUGGGACACCUUCCGAUGCUUUAGCUAUGACUCAGGCAUUUGGAAUAGUGGGUUUUGUUGGCCUAAAUCUGGGUUUUCUUCUUGUUGUUCUAAAAAUAUUCACGGAUAAAUUGAAAGGGAACUCGGAGUCACUUCUUAUUGCGGGAAUAUCUAUGAUUGUAUCAGGUGAACGACCUGAAUUCGAUCUCGCGUGCUAAAGACUCUCAGCUUCAUCUCAAGCCAGUGCACUAACCACUGUGUUAGCGAUCUCUUGGCUUUUGGCUUUCAUCAUCUUUUUAAUAAUGUACGCGCCGAGUUCCUCCUUGCUUGGCUAUUCAUUUCUUCUAGCUGGGUUUUCUUUCAUUUUGGCAGCAGUAGCUGGAGUACUUGUGUUGUGUGCCCGCUCUUAGUAGAACCAGUGCACGCACAUUUUGACUUUUGACGUUGGGACACAGAUGUUGAUGACGCAAUUCACAGUUAGGACAUUUGUAAUUGUGUGCGAGAUAUACACACUAUCGGAGAGAGAGAGAAAGAGAGAGAGAGAGAGACAAAGAAUUUUAAAAAAUAAAAGAGUGGAUAUAGUAAUGUUUAAAUGUCCCCAUAUGUGUUAAAAGUGCAAGCGCUUUGAAUAAAUAGGAAGUAUUUUCUUGGU